rnacentral:lncRNA from 1 species
ACCAUUCAGAGGCCUCGACAAGAGUUUCCUUAAGGCUGAGGAACCCGGGCGCCUGUGACUGACUCACGCGUGGGUGUCUGAGGCCAGGAUGGUGGCUGAAGCUGACUUGGCUUGAGUGCAGAGUAAAGAGAGUUAUAUUGGGAGAUUCUUCAUUUCCACAGAAGGAAGGCAAAGGUGCAUGCCUUCCAUGAACCAGAGGAGUGUCUGAGGAAGGGUGCCAACCCUGGAGUAGCUCAAAAGGAAUUGUUGCAAAGAACGGCCAGGAGGGGCAAGGUUAGAAACAAAGUAACUUAGAUCCUGGAACUAGAAGGAGCCUUACACCUUUUGAACUGCUAUGGACUUAAUGUUGCACAAGAUAUUUUUACUCUUAAUAAUUACAAAUUUAUUUACAAGUGGAAUAAUGAGAAAAUGACAAAGUGUGUUUCUGAUAACAUAUUAUUAAAUAGAAGAAAAUAAAACCCUUAAAAAAUCCUGUUUACAGGCUAAGAUUUACAGACAUUUGUUAUAUAAUCAUGCUUCCUUUACUUGUGACAAUGUUGUGCUCGAUAAGCUGCAACUAUGUUCCUAGGUCUUGAUACCACAUAGCACAAAAGAUAAUUUAUAUCAGAUAUUAUAAAAGAAGGAAACAAAUUAUGCACAUUUGCUACUUUCUAACAUUUCCAUUAAAUCAUAGAAAAAUCCCAACUGUCAAGGUCCCAAAUAAGAAAAGAACACUUGGAUAUCAUCCAAUGACAAUCAUUUAGGUUUUAAAUCAUGGAGUCCAAUCAUCUCAUCUCUUUGAAAGCAGUGACAAGGUUGCAUCCACAGAGCUUGACCAUGAAAUAAAAGUAUUUGUCUCUCCUGCUUGACCUUGGGGGAAUUUGAAACAAAAUGAAAGAAAUCUCACAGGUUGAGAACUGAGAAACAUUGAUAUUAUCUUCAGCAGAAAAUAAGAGACUUUUAAAAAAUAAAGUUUUGAUUGAUUGCUGACUGUCAGUUCUGAAAAUUAAUCUCAUCACAUAAUAAAAAAGUUCUAAGUUUAUUAAUUACAGAAAAAGAAAUGCAUGGUUAGCAUUUAUGGUAUUUGUUAAACUUUCUAAUACAAACAUAAUAUUUUAUGAUUCUAGGAUUUAUUUGGUGACUUCAGAGUAUUGAUAAUACUCUGAAAUUUAUAACCUAUCAGGCUAUUUUAUCACCCAUCUUCUCUCAAAUCUCUGACUUCUAUUUUCCUCUUCUAUUUUUAUUCUUUUAUGUCCAACUUAUUUUUUUUGAUUUUUAAAAAUUUUAAAUUGAAAACCAUUUACAUACACAGAAUACUUGCAAUAAUAACGCAAUGAACUUCCAUAUGUCCUUCACCUGGGUCCAGUCAUUGUCAUUAGUUUACCGUUUUUACUUCUUAUCCCUCAUAGAAGUAAAUACAACUAUCAUAGUACAUUUUAUUAUUAUUAUUAUUUUUUAUGGAACCAUUUGAAAAAAAAUGUUGCAGACUUCAUGGUCCUUCACUCCUAAAUACUUUAGGACGUGUUUCCUAGGAAUAAAUAAAUCCCCCUUUUAUUCACAGGUAACAACUGGGCUCCUAUUUCCUGAGCCCCAGAACUGGACAAACGUCCAUGCCUCAUUACGAGAUAUGGGAGAAGGUCUUUAGCACCACGCGUACAUGGAGGAAAAAUUCCUCAAGGACACUCAUGCUCUGCAGCAGGUUCAGAGGAAGAGAGUAAAGCAGAAGCCAGCGGUGCAUGACCAACUUCUCCUUCCUAAUCUUCCAGUUAGGUUAAGCCCUGGCUUGACCCCUUGGGAAAACAGUGUGAAAGUGAAGCACCAGCAGAGGGUUACACAACACACUGAUGGAGCUCUAUGGGCAAAACACCAAGCGCAUGAAAGAAGCUUGUGUCCUAAAUGUGUCAUACAUUAGCAGUGUUCUGAAUGUUUUACUGUGCUGAUUGGGCUAGAUAAACGAACAUUCAUUUCACUAAAAAAACCAAAAACAAUGCAAAUGGUCCUCAACCAUCCAUAAGCUACACAGUCUCAUUCUCAUGCAUAAUGAAAGAAAUAAAACUACGAGAUACCAUUUCUCAUCUAUUUGUUUGGCAAAUAUUAAAAAAUUUGACAACACACUCUGUUGACACACUAAUAGAAACACAGGCACUCAUCACUGGUGGGAGUGCAACAUUUGGAAAUGUCUAACAAAAUUAUAUAAAAAUUUACCCUUUCGUCCAGUAAUCUUGCUUCUAGGAAUAUAUCCCAAAGGCACACUGGCAGAAAGCACCACCACCAACAAAAUAACACAUA